AUCCUUUUCUGGUUCAUAAGCAUGUGGGUCAUCACACAUGUGUGUAAUAUGUGCCUCCCUUAAAUCUUGUUACAUACUUAGCACAUUACCCAUCUGACA